CCUACGGGUGGCAGCAGUGGGGAAUCUUGGGCAAUGGGCGCAAGCCUGACCCAGCAACGCCGCGUGAAGGAAGAAAGCUUUUGCGUUGUAAACUUCUUGUCUCAGGGACGCAGAAAGUGAAGGUACCUGAGGAAUAAGACACGGCUAACUACGUGCCAGCAGCCGCGGUAAUACGGAGGUGGCAAGCGUUAUCCGGAUUUAUGGGGUGUAAAGGGCGUGUAGGCGGGAGCGCAAGUCAGAUGUGAAAACUCAGGGCCCAACCCGGAGCCUGCAUUUGAAACUGUGUUUCUAGAGUGAUGGAGGGGCAAUCGGAAUUCCGGGUGUAGCAGUGAAAUGCGUAGAUAUACGGAGGAACACUAGUGGCGAAGGCGGAUUGCUGGACAUUAACUGACGCUGAGGCGCGAAGGCGAGGGGAGCGAACGGGAUUAGAUACCCUAGUAGUC
rnacentral:rRNA from 1 species